GGAGCAGCCCAGAGCCUGAAUCAGUGUGUGUGUUAGUGGAAGCGUCUGGAAAGGCGUGCGAUACAGGGUGACAGCCCCGUACACAAAAAUGCACAUACUGUGAGCUCGAUGAGUAGGGCGGGACACGUGGUAUCCUGUCUGAAUAUGGGGGGACCAUCCUCCAAGGCUAAAUACUCCUGACUGACCGAUAGUGAACCAGUACCGUGAGGGAAAGGCGAAAAGAACCCCGGCGAGGGGAGUGAAAAAGAACCUGAAACCGUGUACGUACAAGCAGUGGGAGCACGCUUAGGCGUGUGACUGCGUACCUUUUGUAUAAUGGGUCAGCGACUUAUAUUCUGUAGCAAGGUUAACCGAAUAGGGGAGCCGAAGGGAAACCGAGUCUUAACUGGGCGUUAAGUUGCAGGGUAUAGACCCGAAACCCGGUGAUCUAGCCAUGGGCAGGUUGAAGGUUGGGUAACACUAACUGGAGGACCGAACCGACUAAUGUUGAAAAAUUAGCGGAUGACUUGUGGCUGGGGGUGAAAGGCCAAUCAAACCGGGAGAUAGCUGGUUCUCCCCGAAAGCUAUUUAGGUAGCGCCUCGUGAAUUCAUCUCCGGGGGUAGAGCACUGUUUCGGCAAGGGGGUCAUCCCGACUUACCAACCCGAUGCAAACUGCGAAUACCGGAGAAUGUUAUCACGGGAGACACACGGCGGGUGCUAACGUCCGUCGUGAAGAGGGAAACAACCCAGACCGCCAGCUAAGGUCCCAAAGUCAUGGUUAAGUGGGAAACGAUGUGGGAAGGCCCAGACAGCCAGGAUGUUGGCUUAGAAGCAGCCAUCAUUUAAAGAAAGCGUAAUAGCUCACUGGUCGAGUCGGCCUGCGCGGAAGAUGUAACGGGGCUAAACCAUGCACCGAAGCUGCGGCAGCGACGCUUAUGCGUUGUUGGGUAGGGGAGCGUUCUGUAAGCCUGUGAAGGUGUGCUGUGAGGUAUGCUGGAGGUAUCAGAAGUGCGAAUGCUGACAUAAGUAACGAUAAAGCGGGUGAAAAGCCCGCUCGCCGGAAGACCAAGGGUUCCUGUCCAACGUUAAUCGGGGCAGGGUGAGUCGACCCCUAAGGCGAGGCCGAAAGGCGUAGUCGAUGGGAAACAGGUUAAUAUUCCUGUACUUGGUGUUACUGCGAAGGGGGGACGGAGAAGGCUAUGUUGGCCGGGCGACGGUUGUCCCGGUUUAAGCGUGUAGGCUGGUUUUCCAGGCAAAUCCGGAAAAUCAAGGCCGAG
rnacentral:rRNA from 2 species